rnacentral:rRNA from 1 species
UACAGAGGGUGCGAGCGUUAAUCGGAAUUACUGGGCGUAAAGCGCACGUAGGUGGCGACGUAAGUCGGGUGUGAAAGCCCCGGGCUCAACCUGGGAAUUGCAUUCGAGACUGCAUUGCUGGAGUACGGAAGAGGAGGGCGGAAUUCCCGGUGUAGCGGCGAAAUGCGUAGAUAUCGGGAGGAACAUCAGUGGCGAAGGCGGCCCUCUGGUCCAGUACUGACACUCAAGUGCGAAAGCGUGGGGAGCAAACAGG